rnacentral:rRNA from 1 species
GGAAUAUUGGACAAUGGGGGAAACCCUGAUCCAGCAAUGCCGCGUGAAUGAAGAAGGCCUUAGGGUUGUAAAGUUCUUUCACCUGUGAAGAUAAUGACGGUAGCAGGAGAAGAAGCCCCGGCAAACUCCGUGCCAGCAGCCGCGGUAAGACGGAGGGGGCUAGCGUUGUUCGGAAUGACUGGGCGUAAAGGGCGCGUAGGCGGUUUAUUAAGUGAGGCGUGAAAGCCCCGGGCUUAACCCGGGAGGUGCGUUUCAUACUGGUAGACUUGAGUGCGAGAGAGGAAAGUGGAAUUCCUAGUGUAGAGGUGAAAUUCGUAGAUAUUAGGAAGAACACCAGAGGCGAAGGCGGCUUUCUGGCUCGCAACUGACGCUGAGGCGCGAAAGCGUGGGGAGCAAA